GUGAGUAACCUGCCCUUGACUCUGGGAUAAGCCUGGGAAACUGGGUCUAAUACCGGAUACGACCAUUGCCCGCAUGGGUUGGUGGUGGAAAGCUUUUGUGGUUUUGGAUGGACUCGCGGCCUAUCAGCUUGUUGGUGAGGUAAUGGCUCACCAAGGCGACGACGGGUAGCCGGCCUGAGAGGGUGACCGGCCACACUGGGACUGAGACACGGCCCAGACUCCUACGGGAGGCAGCAGUGGGGAAUAUUGCACAAUGGGCGAAAGCGGGGAGCAGCGACGCCGCGUGAGGGAUGACGGCCUUCGGGUUGUAAACCUCUUUCAGUAGGGAAGAAGCGA
rnacentral:rRNA from 1 species